ensembl:lncRNA
GCAUCAGCAGCUUUCAUAUUGAGCUCAUUAAGCCACAGCUUGAAUGAAUUAACUGCCUUUCCCCCUCUUUUCUCUAACUCCCUAGUCUCCCACUGUAACUCCUACUCUCUCCUCUCUUGCCUCAAUCUUUCUCCUCUCUCAGAAAUCUGUUCUGUUCUACACGAAGGCUGAGUUACCAUCCUACAUAUUAAACCAAGCCCCAUGGGAAAACAGACAGAAGAACAUUCUUCUGGAUUAAGCAGAGAAUUAAGAAAACUGAGAGCCGUUGGGAUUACUGGAGUCAGCAGUCAGAUAUCCAGGUGUGGCCCCUCUACAGGCCCUUACUCCAUGGACGUGUGAAGUCAUCCAGUCACCAGUCCUGGGUCAUCCAGUCACCAGCCCUGAGUCAUCCGGUCACCACCCCAAGUCAUCCAGUCACCACCCCUGAGUCAUUGGCCUGUAUGGUCACCACCCCUGAUUCCUCUGGUCACCACCCCUGAGUCAUCCAGUCACCAGCCCUGAGUCAUCCGUUCACCACUCCAAGUCAUCCAGUCACCACCCCUGAGUCAUUGGCCUGUAUGAUCACCACCCC